rnacentral:rRNA from 1 species
CACACCGCCCGUCACACCAUGGGAGUUGACUGCUCCAGAAGUGGCAGACUUGUUCUGCUCCUAAGGAGUGCUCAAUGACUGGGGUG